AUUGAACGCUGGCGGCAGGACUAACACAUGCAAGUCGAACGAGUGGCGGACGGGUGAGUAAUGUCUGGGAAACUGCCAGAUGGAGGGGGAUAACUACUGGAAACGGUCGCUAAUACCGCAUACCAUCAGAUGCGCACAGAUGGGAUUAGCUAGUUGGUGGGGUAACGGCUCACCAAGGCGAAGAUCCCUAGCUGGUCUGAGAGGAUGACCAGCCACACUGGAACUGAGACACGGUCCAGCCUCCUACGGGAGGCAGCAGUGGGGAAUAUUGCACAAUGGGCGCAAGCCUGAUGCAGCCAUGCCGCGUGUAUGAAGAAGGCCUUCGGGUUGUAAAGUACUUUCAGCGGGGAGGCGUUACCCGCAGAAGAAGCACCGGCUAACUCCGGUCCAGCAGCCGCGGUAAUUC
rnacentral:rRNA from 1 species